AGUGAAACGGCAAGCGUAACUAGCCGACCCAUUUUUGAAUUGAACGGCGUGAACCAUACCGUCGCCGUCGAAGAAAUGGUGUCCGGCGGUUGGUUCAAAAAGAGGGUUAGCUCCGUUUCGAACGUAAACGCCUUGAACACAUUUGGGUAUUUUUCCGGUGACCGGAAGAGAUUGACAGACUGGAUUUUCCGGUACCGGAGCAAAAUUCCCAGAAAUCUGGACUCGUGGGUCGGCUGUUUUCGGCAAAGGGUGUUCAAGUUCAUGUUUAGUUAAAGCACUUUCUACAGCAUCUAAAGCCAUUGCUGCUGCUUUCUGCACUAAAUUCCACUUGGAAGUUGAAGAAGAAGAG
rnacentral:lncRNA from 1 species